UGUGAGGCCAAUGAGCUUCUGAAGAGGAUUAGAGGCCACGGUGAGAGUGGAGAGGAGUGUCCGAGUAGAAGAGACGGGACAGACCAGCCUUGACCUGCACUGCACAAACACACACUAUCCUCAAGUUGGUUCUACAGCACCAUGCUGCAUCCUCUAGUCAUCGGCAUCGUGACGGUGAACACCUCGCUAACUGUGGUCUACUGGGCCUUCCUUCUGGGGGACACCUACUUCAGGUGGGCGAUGGAGCCGGAGGACAAGCCCAAGCAGGUGGUCACCCCCGCCUGAGGAGGCAGCAUCACCUUCUCAUAUAGUCAGCUUGUAGUCUUCUGGAGGACGCCCCUGUUGCAUGUGCAGGUGGAGAGGAAAGACGAAGGAGGCUAUCGAACAGAUGAACCUGACACCCACUCGUUUAGACGCCCCUUUAUUAUUCUCAAGUCAAAGGAAAGAGCUGAAAAGAACAUGUGGUGAUCGUCAGACUGGAUUCUUGGCCCCAAAGCAGUGGAGGAUGACACGUGUGAAGAAGGUGGCGCGGCACUGAAAAGAGAUGAAGAAGAAAAAGAAGAGGAGAAUGGAGACAAGGUGGAGAUGGAGAGCGAGAAAGAAGGGAUGCUGCCAGCUUGCCAUGACAGUCCUCCAGCGAGGAGAAGCACCAUCACUUCCUCCUCAGGAGAGGAAAGAACGUGUUCACAUAGUGUUACCUUCACCUGACCUUUGACCUUUUAAAUUCAUCAGAAUAGUUGUUCUCACCUGAUUAGAUGAACACUUUUAUUGUUCUUUUCUACACCUCAUGUUCUAGUCUGUACAUCACAUGCACAGACGGGCGGCAUAGCUCGGUUGGUAGAGCGGCUAUGCCAGCAACUUGAGGGUUGCAGGUUCGACUCCCGCUUCCGCCAUCCUAGUCACUGCCAUUGUGUCCUUGGGCAAGACACUUUACCCACCUGCUCCCAGUGCCCCCCACACUGGUUUAAAUGUAACUUAGAUAUUGGGUUUCACUAUGUAAAGCGCUUUGAGUCACUAGAGAAAAGCGCUAUAUAAAUAUAGUUCACUUCACUUCACUUUAUAAGAUAGAAUAAUAAUAAUAGAGUAACCCAAAUAUUAAUUGUGAAGAAACUGCUGCGUUGUUGUCAUGUGACGUCCGUGUUCUUACACUGUGAGCUUCUCUUCAGUAAACAACUUAACAAUACUAUAAUU